rnacentral:rRNA from 1 species
GACGAACGCUGGCGGCGGGCCUAAUACAUGCAAGUAGGAAGCAGUUGCGAAAGGGUGAGUAACGCGUAGGUAACUACCUAUUAGAGGGGGAUAACUAUCGGAAACGAUAGCUAAUACCGAAAUAUAGUAGGUGGACCUGAGUUGGAUUAGCUAGUAGGGAGGGUAAUGGCCUAAGUAGGCAACGAUACAUAGCCGACGUGAGAGGGUUGACGGCCACAGUGGGACUGAGACACGGCCCAGGCUCCUACGGGAGGCAGCAGUGGGGAAUCUUCGGCAAUGGGGGGAACACUGACCGAGCAACGCCGCGUGAGUGAAGACGGUUUUCGGAUCGUAAAGCUCUGUUGUUCGGGAAGCGGUACUUGACAGGAAAGGGACGGCUAACUACGUGCCAGCAGCCGCGGUAAUAC